rnacentral:rRNA from 1 species
UGUCAGUCUAGAGUAUAGUUGAAGUUGGCGGAAUGUGUCAUGUAGCGGUGAAAUGCUAGAUAUGACACAGAACACCCGAUCGCGAAGGCAGCUAGCUAAGCUAUAACUGACGCUCAUGCACGAAAGCGUGGGGAUCAAACAGGAUUAGAUACCCUGGUAGUCCACGCUGUAAACGAUGAUUACUCGAUGUUGGCGAUACACAGUCAGCGUCUGAGCGAAAGCAAUAAGUAAUCCACCUGGGGAGUACGAUCGCAAGAUUGAAACUCAAAGGAAUUGACGGGGGCCCGCACAAGCGGAGGAGCAUGUGGUUUAAUUCGAUGAUACGCGAGGAACCUUACCUGGGCUCGAACGUAAGAUGACUGUAGGUGAAAGCUUACAUCUCUUCGGAGCAUUUUACGAGGUGCUGCAUGGUUGUCGUCAGCUCGUGCCGUGAGGUGUCGGGUUAAGUCCCAUAACGAGCGCAACCCCUACCUUUAGUUGCCAUCAGGUCAUGCUGGGGACUCUAAAGGAACUGCCUACGCAAGUAGUGAGGAAGGCGGGGAUGACGUCAAAUCAGCACGGCCCUUACGUCCAGGGCUACACACGUGCUACAAUGGCCGAUACAGAGGGCAGCUACCUGGUGACAGGAUGCAAAUCUCCAAAGUCGGUCUCAGUUCGGAUCGGAGUCUGCAACCCGACUCCGUGAAGUUGGAUUCGCUAGUAAUCGCGCAUCAGCCAUGGCGCGGUGAAUACGUUCCCGGGCCUUGUACACACCGCCCGUCAAGCCAUGGAAGCUGGGGGGACCUAAAGUCGAUAACCGCAAGGAGUCGCCUAGGGUAAAACCAGUGACUGGGGCUAAGUCGUAACAAGGUAGCCG